CGCUUUGUGGUCCAACUGAUUUGAAGAGCUUGCUCAGAUAUGACGAUGGACAUUGCAAAGAGUGGCGAACGGGUGAGUAACACGUGGGAAACCUACCUCUUAGCAGGGGAUAACACUUGGAAACAAGUGCUAAUACCGUAUAACACUAAUAACCGCAUGGUUAUUAGUUAAAAGAUGGUCUUGCUAUCACUAAGAGAUGGUCCCGCGGUGUAUUAGCUAGUUGGUAAGGUAAUGGCUUACCAAGGCAAUGAUACAUAGCCGAGUUGAGAGACUGAUCGGCCACAAUGGGACUGAGACACGGCCCAUACUCCUACGGGAGGCAGCAGUAGGGAAUCUUCCACAAUGGACGAAAGUCUGAUGGAGCAACGCCGCGUGUGUGAUGAAGGGUUUCGGCUCGUAAAACACUGUUGUAAGAGAAGAAUGACAUUGAGAGUAACUGUUCAGUGUGUGACGGUAUCUUACCAGAAAGGAACGGCUAAAUACGUGCCAGCAGCCGCGGUAAUACGUAUGUUCCAAGCGUUAUCCGGAUUUAUUGGGCGUAAAGCGAGCGCAGACGGUUAUUUAAGUCCGAAGUGAAAGCCCACAGCUUAACUGUGGAAGUGCUUUGGAAACUGGAUAACUUGAGUGCAGUAGAGGAGAGUGGAACUCCAUGUGUAGCGGUGAAAUGCGUAGAUAUAUGGAA
rnacentral:rRNA from 1 species